rnacentral:lncRNA from 1 species
CACAAUACACUGAAAGAAAAAAAAAGAGCAGCUGCGGCGGACGGCGGCGACGGCCGGCGGCCGGGAAGAAGAUGCCGCGCGAAGGCCUCGCUCGAGGCCUCGAGGUGGAGGCUGCGCUCGCGACGGAGGUAGCAUGGGAACUGAAGGAGGCUGUUGCAUCCAUGGCUGCUGGGUCCUUGGAUAUGGAUGUAGACUCACCACCGCAUCUCCCCAUAGAGACCUCUGCUAACAAGAUUUCCCUUCUAUCCUUCCUGUGCCAUUGGUUCCAUUACUCUUUUCAUAUCUAUUCAUUUUUUCCUGGAUUGUAUUCAGCCAUGAAUCCUAGCUCAGAUCGAGAUUAGGUUUAGUUUGCAAAGAAAGGGAUGGGUGCAAGAUUCAAUCCAUAGUAAUCCCUACCAUGUUCUCAGUUCUUGUUUGGAAUUUGGAUGUGGAAUUCGAGAACUGUAUCUUUGCUUUAUCCUUCAAAAGAGGGACAUAUUUUUGUCUUUUUUGCUUCAAUUAUGUUUAAAAUAAACUUAUGUAACUUGUCUUUUUUGUUUCAGAUUUCACUGAGUUUGAAGGAUAGCAAUUUCUGACAAGGCGUAUAUUUUGUUUCUGACAAGGUAAGGUGAUUGACUCUAUAGGGUCCAAAUCUGAAACAUAGGAUCUAUGGGUACACAAGGCAGCUACAUUAGAGAUUAUUUGUUAUGCUGCAUAUUUCGUUAUUAUACUGUAGACAUUCGUUGAUCCUGACUAUGCUGCAUAUUUUGUUGUUAUGCUAUAUAGAGAUUCAUUGAUCAUGACUAUUCUUUUAUUUGUCGUAGGCUGCAGAUUUCUUUGUUAUACACUACGGGUAUGCAAGUAUGAGAGUAUUCUUGGUGCAGUACAUCAACUUUAUGUGAAUGCAUUCGGGAAUUUUCUUAUAGUUUAGUUAACUUAAGCUAUUGUUAGAUUUAAUUAAGAAAUCUUUUGUAUGGAACAUGAUCAGUUCCCUAGGCAUGCUAUUCUCUUUCCGUGAGGGUGUUUCUUAUGUUGACUUAUUGCAAUUUCGGAUUAAA